GUUCAAUGUAACAAAUGUCUUUGAGUUCCAUAAUGGACGGUGGUAUAUGGUUCAUCAUCACAGUUCUGUGAUGAAUGGGGAUGUAGAGCAACAAAUUAUGCAUGGAUAGUAAUAGUAAGAGAGAUGAUAUGUUAUUAUGUCUGAUACUGGUCUCAGAAAAGGAAAUUGCAAUGGGGCCAAAAAAGUGUGAAAAAUAGAUUAAGUGGAUUAAAGUAAAUACAAAAGAUCGAUGGAAAAGAUUACAUGUGAAUCAACGUCCAAUACAUCGGUGAGACUUGUGAAAAACCAAGGCUGUGCAGUUGCAGGAGUUACUAAUUCAAAAGUAUAGUCCAAUUUUGGCGUGCAUUUUAGUUCUCUAGCAGUGUGUGCAUUUUUCAAUAUUGUAAGAGACAAGUCCAUUCCGGCAAUGCAAUAUCCAAUCAACCUUCAAUGCAAUAUCCAAUCAACCUUACCUAUAGAUGAUCAUCAAUCAACAAUCGUAUAUAUAAGAGCUAGUGCAUAACAAUUUCUAUAACAAAAGAUAAAAUCAAAUCAAAUUCUUUUCAUAAGCUAUUACCAAGUUCAAGUGAUGAACACGCGUUAACACCUUAAGCUCGGCAAAAAAUUCUUUUGAUGCUUUCA